UACAGGGGGGGCAAGCGUUGUUCGGAAUUACUGGGCGUAAAGGGUCUAGUAGGUGGCCAACUAAGUCAGACGUGAAAUCCCUCAGCUUAACUGGGGAACUGCGUCUGAUACUGGAUGGCUUGAGUGUGGGAGAGGAAUGCGGAAUUCCAGGUGUAGCGGUGAAAUGCGCAGAUAUCGGGAGGAACACCGGUGGCGAAGGCGGUUCUCUGGGCCUUACCUGACGCUGAGGAGCGAAAGCGUGGGGAGCGAACAGG
rnacentral:rRNA from 1 species